GGCGCGACAGGGCCGGCAGGCUGUCAUCCAAGCCAAAGACAAGAGAUGCUGCCUCAGAACAGUCAGCUCAGGAGUCUGAAGGAGGCAGGUGUGACAGAAAGGACGAAGCUCACUAGAUCUCAGUGUCUUCCCCUUCAGUGGCCGGGCCUUCUCCCUCUCUCCUCCCUGCUGCUAACCCCAUAAUGAAAUUGGCAACCUAUGGCUCGCAAGAUCUAAAUAUGGCUCUUUGACUCCUUCAACAGCAGCACUCACCAUCCUUGCACCUUGAAGGUAAGCUGCUGCUGGGCU